CACGUAGGGCGCAAGCGUUGUCCGGAAUUAUUGGGCGUAAAGAGCUCGUAGGCGGUCUGUUGCGUCCGCUGUGAAAACCCGGGGCUUAACCCUGGGCUGGCAGUGGAUACGGACAGACUAGAGGUAGGUAGGGGAGAAUGGAAUUCCCGGUGUAGCGGUGAAAUGCGCAGAUAUCGGGAGGAACACCGGUGGCGAAGGCGGGUCUCUGGACAGUUCCUGACGCUGAGGCACGAAGGUCAGGGGAGCAAACGGG
rnacentral:rRNA from 1 species